rnacentral:rRNA from 1 species
GACGUAGGGGGCAAGCGUUGUCCGGAUUCAUUGGGCGUAAAGAGCUCGUAGGCGGCUUGGCAAGUCGGAUGUGAAAUCUCCAGGCUCAACCUGGGGUCGCCAUCCGAUACUGCUAUGGCUAGAGUCCGGUAGAGGAUCGUGGAAUUCCUGGUGUAGCGGUGAAAUGCGCAGAUAUCAGGAGGAACACCGAUGGCGAAGGCAUCGAUCUGGGUCGGCACUGACCCUGAGGAGCGAAAGCGUGGGGAUCGAACAGG